UGAGGAAUAUUGGUCAAUGGGCGCAAGCCUGAACCAGCCAUGUAGCGUGAAGGAUGACGGUUUUUUUGAUUGUAAACUUCUUUUCUGUGCGAUUAAAGUGUGGCAUUUAUGCCAUAUUGCAGUUAUCUCAGGAAUAAGCAUCGGCUAACUCCGUGCCAGCAGCCGCGGUAAUACGGAGGAUGCGAGCGUUAUCCGGAUUUAUUGGGUUUAAAGGGAGCGUAGAUGGUUUUUUAAGUCAGCUGUCAAAUGUAUGGGCUCAACCCUUAUUAUCAGUUGAAACUGUAAGACUUGAGUGCGGUGUGGGUACAUGGAAUUCGUGGUGUAGCGGUGAAAUGCAUAGAUAUCACGAAGAACUCCGAAAGCGUAGGCAUUGUACCAUAGCGCCACUGACAUUGAUGCUCGAAGGUGCGGGAAUCAAACA
rnacentral:rRNA from 1 species